GACAGAGGGUGCAAACGUUGUUCGGAAUUACUGGGCGUAAAGCGUGUGUAGGCGGCCGCGUAAGUCGGAUGUGAAAGCCCUGGGCUCAACCCAGGAAGUGCACUCGAUACUGCGCGGCUCGAGUACUGGAGAGGUUGGUGGAAUUCUCGGUGUAGAGGUGAAAUUCGUAGAUAUCGAGAGGAACACCGGUGGCGAAGGCGGCCAACUGGACAGAUACUGACGCUGAGACACGAAAGCGUGGGGAGCAAACAGG
rnacentral:rRNA from 1 species